rnacentral:rRNA from 1 species
AUUGAACGCUGGCGGCAUGCCUAACACAUACAAGUCGCACGCGAAAGGGGGCAACCCCGACGUAGAGUGGCGGACGGGUGCGUAAUACGUAGGAAUCUACCUGAUAGUGGGGGACGAACCCGGCCGAAAGACCGGGCGUAAUACCGCAUACGACCUAUGGGUGAAAGACCGGGGACCGGCAAGGCCUGGCGCUAUUAGAUGAGCCUGCGUCGGAUUAGCUAGUUGGUGAGGUAAAGGCUUACCAAGGCGACGAUCCGUAGCUGGUCUGAGAGGAUGAUCAGCCACACUGGGACUGAGACACGGCCCAGACUCCUACGGGAGGGCAGCAGUGGGGAAGUAUUGGACAAUGGGCGGCAAGCCUGAUCCAGCCAUGCCGCGUGAGUGACGAAGGCCUUAGGGUUGUAAACCUCUUUCAGGAGGACGAAGGUCCGCCCGCGAAUAGCGAGGCGGAUUGACGGUACCU